AUCCACUCGACCAAUCACUCUACC
rnacentral:siRNA from 1 species